GACGAACGCUGGCGGCGUGCUUAACACAUGCAAGUCGAGCGGUAAGGCCCUUUCGGGGGUACACGAGCGGCGAACGGGUGAGUAACACGUGGGUGACCUGCCCUCAGCUCUGGGAUAAGCCUGGGAAACCGGGUCUAAUACUGGAUAUGACUCCAUGACGCAUGUUGUGGGGUGGAAAGCCUUGUGCGGCUGAGGAUGGGGCCCGCGGCCUAUCAGCUUGUUGGUGGGGUGANGGCCUACCAAGGCGACGACGGGUAGCCGGCCUGAGAGGGCGACCGGCCACACUGGGACUGAGACACGGCCCAGACUCCUACGGGAGGCAGCAGUGGGGAAUCUUGCGCAAUGGGCGAAAGCCUGACGCAGCGACGCCGCGUGAGGGAU
rnacentral:rRNA from 1 species